UCUUGGAUGAGAAGAUCCAAAAUAACACUCGAAGGCUCCUCAAUCCAAACUAAACGUGUCCCACUUGACACUGCUACCUUUGUCAAACAAUGGGCAAUACCAUUAUUAUUCCUAGAAAUAGAAAUAAACUUCGAAGCAGUAAACGAAGCUACACUAUGUAAAAUAUCAUCCACUAGCAAAUCCAUAACUGAAGCACGAUCCACACAAGUAUUGAUAAUGGAAAUUGCUUGGGAGGAGUCAUUUUUUACUUGAACCUUUUGAUAGCCAAGUUGUUGAGCCAACUCCACUCCAUGCUUAAUGGCUAGCAA
rnacentral:lncRNA from 1 species